rnacentral:rRNA from 1 species
GACGAACGCUGGCGGCGUGCCUAAUACAUGCAAGUAGAACGCUGAAGGAGGAGCUUGCUUCUCUGGAUGAGUUGCGAACGGGUGAGUAACGCGUAGGUAACCUGCCUGGUAGCGGGGGAUAACUAUUGGAAACGAUAGCUAAUGCCGCAUAAGAGUAGAUGUUGCAUGACAUUUGCUUAAAAGGUGCAAUUGCAUCACUACCAGAUGGACCUGCGUUGUAUUAGCUAGUUGGUGGGGUAACGGCUCACCAAGGCGACGAUACAUAGCCGACCUGAGAGGGUGAUCGGCCACACUGGGACUGAGACACGGCCCAGACUCCUACGGGAGGCAGCAGUAGGGAAUCUUCGGCAAUGGACGGAAGUCUGACCGAGCAACGCCGCGUGAGUGAAGAAGGGUUUCGGAUCGUAAAGCUCUGUUGUAAGAGAAGAACGAGUGUGAGAGUGGAAAGUUCACACUGUGACGGUAUCUUACCAGAAAGGGACGGCUAACUACGUG